CCAAAACUUAUAGAACCAAAAUAAGUUUCGACUAAACAUAGGAAAUAUUUUUUUCAAUAUAAAAUACCAUAUAAAAAAUAGGAUAUAUGUGUGCCUUGUAAAAAAAAGGCAUAAAAUCGUAAUGGCAUAUCAAAUUGAGGAUCAGAACGAGUUGAAGACAAUCCUAAAACCACGUCUGAAAUUAACUUUGCAAAAUGAUAAGAGGCAGCAUGUUUGUGUCCGAAUCUGCACCCAAUAAUGACGAAACAUACGAGAUGGCACACAAAGUUUAUGAAAAGCUUGAAUUUGAUUUCAACUCAAGAACAAGGGAAAGGUAAAGUUGCAUCCACUAAUUAAUCUAUCAUGAAUUUCAUUUUGUAACAUUGCAUACUUCCAUGAAUUCAAUUCAUGGCUAUUGGUUCACUAGGUGCUGCAAAUUUUAUUUACAUGGACCCGAAGCAACUUUUUUGGGAGACUUAGAAGUCAAAAUCUCAGAAACAGCCUUGAUAGGCGUAUCCGGUUCUAUGAGGAUAAUAUUUGUACGCUUAAUAACCAACCUUUUAUGCCUGUUUGGAGCUUAUAUACUUUUUUCAAACUAAAGGAGAGCCUGGAAUUUAUGUUUGAAAUGCCACAUCUGAACGAGGAAUCACCGCAAGAAUAUUAUGAACUAAAGGUUUGUUAUAUGGAAACAAGUGCUUUAGAUAGAUUCUAUAUAUUUUGGAAUAGAUAAAUGUAUUGGAUUAUUAAUAUUACUAUUCAUUUAUAUUUUGGACUCAUAUU